rnacentral:rRNA from 1 species
UACGGAAGGCAGCAGUGGGGAAUAUUGCACAAUGGGCGCAAGCCUGAUGCAGCCAUGCCGCGUGUAUGAAGAAGGCCUUCGGGUUGUAAAGUACUUUCAGUCGUGAGGAAGGUGUUAAGGUUAAUAACCUUAGCAAUUGACGUUAGCGACAGAAGAAGCACCGGCUAACUCCGUGCCAGCAGCCGCGGUAAUACGGAGGGUGCGAGCGUUAAUCGGAAUUACUGGGCGUAAAGGGCACGCAGGCGGUUAAUUAAGUUGGAUGUGAAAUCCCCGGGCUUAACCUGGGAAUGGCAUUCAAGACUGGUUAGCUAGAGUCUUGUAGAGGGGGUAGAAUUCCAUGUGUAGCGGUGAAAUGCGUAGAGAUGUGGAGGAAUACCGGUGGCGAAGGCGGCCCCUGGGACAAAGACUGACGCUCAUGUGCGAAAGCGUGGGGAGCGAAACAGGGAUUUAGAU